CACGUAGGGCGCGAGCGUUGUCCGGAAUUAUUGGGCGUAAAGAGCUCGUAGGCGGCCUGUUGCGUCCGCUGUGAAAACCCGAGGCUCAACCUCGGGCCUGCAGUGGGUACGGGCAAACUAGAGUGUGGUAGGGGAGACUGGAAUUCCUGGUGUAGCGGUGAAAUGCGCAGAUAUCAGGAGGAACACCGGCGGCGAAGGCGGGUCUCUGGGCCAUAACUGACGCUGAGGAGCGAAAGCGUGGGGGAGCGAACAGG
rnacentral:rRNA from 1 species